AAAAAAAAAAAAAAAAAAUAAACAAUCUACCUUCAAUCCUAAAUAAACUGAGAUCCAACUAUCUUGAUACUGGCACAAAUAUGGAUUCUACUUAUCAAAACUAUCAGAUUCAGAUGAUUCACAUGCACAGCUACAUAUCUCCAAUUUGUUGUCCUGUAUUUGCAGCUGAAAAUGCCAUGAAUUCAACCUCUGCAUGGAUGCAAUGGCAUACAUCUCUCUCUAGGGUCAAAGGAUGUUGUUGGUCUUAAUCCCUCCCUCUUUGUUUAGCAAU
rnacentral:misc_RNA from 1 species